AUUGAACGCUGGCGGCAGGCCUAACACAUGCAAGUCGAGCGGAUGAAGGGAGCUUGCUCCUGGAUUCAGCGGCGGACGGGUGAGUAAUGCCUAGGAAUCUGCCUGGUAGUGGGGGAUAACGUCCGGAAACGGGCGCUAAUACCGCAUACGUCCUGAGGGAGAAAGUGGGGGAUCUUCGGACCUCACGCUAUCAGAUGAGCCUAGGUCGGAUUAGCUAGUUGGUGGGGUAACGGCCUACCAAGGCGACGAUCCGUAACUGGUCUGAGAGGAUGAUCAGUCACACUGGAACUGAGACACGGUCCAGACUCCUACGGGAGGCAGCAGUGGGGAAUAUUGGACAAUGGGCGAAAGCCUGAUCCAGCCAUGCCGCGUGUGUGAAGAAGGUCUUCGGAUUGUAAAGCACUUUAAGUUGGGAGGAACGGCAGUAAGUUAAUACCUUGCUGUUUUGACGUUACCAACAGAAUAAGCACCGGCUAACUUCGUG
rnacentral:rRNA from 1 species